GCUUUCCCUCCAGAGUGGAUCCUGAGUACGGCGGAACACGUGAAAUUCCGUCGGAAUCCGGGAGGACCAUCUCCCAAGGCUAAAUACUCCCUAGUGACCGAUAGUGAACCAGUACCGUGAGGGAAAGGUGAAAAGCACCCCGGAAGGGGAGUGAAACAGUUCCUGAAACCGUGUGCCUACAAGUAGUUAGAGCCCGUUAAUGGGUGAUAGCGUGCCUUUUGUAGAAUGAACCGGCGAGUUACGAUUUGUUGCAAGGUUAAGCGGAAAAAGCGGAGCCGUAGCGAAAGCGAGUCUGAAUAGGGCGCAUAAGUAACAGGUCGUAGACCCGAAACCAGGUGAUCUACCCAUGUCCAGGAUGAAGGUAAGGUAAUACUUACUGGAGGUCCGAACCCACGCACGUUGAAAAGUGCGGGGAUGAGGUGUGGGUAGCGGAGAAAUUCCAAUCGAACUUGGAGAUAGCUGGUUCUCUCCGAAAUAGCUUUAGGGCUAGCCUCGAGGUAAAGAGUCAUGGAGGUAGAGCACUGUUUGGACUAGGGGCCCUUCUCGGGUUACCGAAUUCAGAUAAACUCCGAAUGCCAUGUACUUAUACUCGGGAGUCAGACUGCGAGUGAUAAGAUCCGUAGUCGAAAGGGAAACAGCCCAGACCACCAGUUAAGGUCCCCAAAUAUAUGUUAAGUGGAAAAGGAUGUGGGGUUGCUUAGACAACCAGGAUGUUGGCUUAGAAGCAGCCACCAUUGAAAGAGUGCGUAAUAGCUCACUGGUCGAGUGACCCCGCGCCGAAAAUGUACCGGGGCUAAACAUAUUACCGAAACUGUGGAUGAACCUCUUUAGAGGUUCGUGGUAGGAGAGCGUUCUAAGGGCGGUGAAGUCAGACCGGAAGGACUGGUGGAGCGCUUAGAAGUGAGAAUGCCGGUAUGAGUAGCGAAAGAAGGGUGAGAAUCCCUUCCACCGAAUAUCUAAGGUUUCCUGAGGAAGGCUCGUCCGCUCAGGGUUAGUCGGGACCUAAGCCGAGGCCGAUAGGCGUAGGCGAUGGACAACAGGUAGAGAUUCCUGUACCAGUGCUAAUUGUUUAACCGAUGGGGUGACACAGAAGGAUAGGGAAUCGCACGAAUGGAAAUGUGCGUCCAAGCAGUGAGUGUGAGAAGUAGGCAAAUCCGCUUCUCGCGAAGCAUGAGCUGUGAUGGGGAAGGAAAUUAAGUACGGAAGUUCCUGAUUUCACGCUGUCAAGAAAAGCCUCUAGG
rnacentral:rRNA from 1 species